AGAGUUUGAUCCUGGCUCAGGAUGAACGCUGGCGGCGUGCUUAACACAUGCAAGUCGAACGAUUAACCCGCCCUCGGGCGGUUAUAGAGUGGCGAACGGGUGAGUAACACGUGACCAACCUGCCCCCUUCACCGGGAUAACCCAGGGAAACCUGCGCUAAUACCGGAUACUCCGGGACCCCCGCAUGGGGCUCCCGGGAAAGCCCAGGCGGAAGGGGAUGGGGUCGCGGCCCAUUAGGUAGACGGCGGGGUAACGGCCCACCGUGCCCGCGAUGGGUAGCCGGGUUGAGAGACCGAUCGGCCACAUUGGGACUGAGAUACGGCCCAGACUCCUACGGGAGGCAGCAGUGGGGAAUUUUGCGCAAUGGGGGAAACCCUGACGCAGCAACGCCGCGUGCGGGACGACGGCCUUCGGGUUGUAAACCGCUUUCAGCAGGGAAUAAUUUUGAAGGUACCUGCAGAAGAAGCUCCGGCUAACUACGUGCCAGCAGCCGCGGUAAUACGUAGGGAGCGAGCGUUAUCCGGAAUCAUUGGGCGUAAAGCGCGCGUAGGCGGCCCGUCAAGCGGGGUUUCAAAUCCAGGGGCUCAACCUCUGGCCGGACCCCGAACUGGCGGGCUCGAGCGCGGUAGAGGAAGGUGGAAUUCCCAGUGUAGCGGUGAAAUGCGCAGAUAUUGGGAAGAACACCGAUGGCGAAGGCAGCCUUCUGGGCCGCCACUGACGCUGAGGCGCGAAAGCUAGGGGAGCGAACAGGAUUAGAUACCCUGGUAGUCCUAGCCGUAAACGAUGGGCACUAGGUGUGGGGGGACAUUCCCUCCGUGCCGCAGCAAACGCAUUAAGUGCCCCGCCUGGGGAGUACGGCCGCAAGGCUAAAACUCAAAGGAAUUGACGGGGGCCCACACAAGCAGUGGAGUAUGUGGUUUAAUUCGACGCAACGCGAAGAACCUUACCAAGUCUUGACAUCCCUUGACGAUGCUGGAAACAGUAUUUCUCUUCGGAGCAAGGAGACAGGUGGUGCAUGGUUGUCGUCAGCUCGUGUCGUGAGAUGUUGGGUUAAGUCCCGCAACGAGCGCAACCCUUAUGGUCAGUUACUACGCAAGAGGACUCUGGCCAGACUGCCGUUGACAAAACGGAGGAAGGUGGGGAUGACGUCAAAUCAUCAUGCCCUUUAUGACCUGGGCUACACACGUACUACAAUGGCGUUAAACAAAGAGAAGCAAGACCGCGAGGUGGAGCAAAACUCAGAAACAACGUCCCAGUUCGGACUGCAGGCUGCAACUCGCCUGCACGAAGUCGGAAUUGCUAGUAAUCGUGGAUCAGCAUGCCACGGUGAAUACGUUCCCGGGCCUUGUACACACUGCCCGUCACACCAUGAGAGCCGGGGGGACCCGAAGUCGGUAG
rnacentral:rRNA from 1 species